rnacentral:rRNA from 1 species
AACGAACGCUGGCGGCAUGCCUAACACAUGCAAGUCGAACGAGACCUUCGGGUCUAGUGGCGCACGGGUGCGUAACGCGUGGGAAUCUGCCCUUGGGUUCGGAAUAACAGUUAGAAAUGACUGCUAAUACCGGAUAAUGUCUUCGGACCAAAGAUUUAUCGCCCAGGGAUGAGCCCGCGUAGGAUUAGCUAGUUGGUGAGGUAAAGGCUCACCAAGGCGACGAUCCUUAGCUGGUCUGAGAGGAUGAUCAGCCACACUGGGACUGAGACACGGCCCAGACUCCUACGGGAGGCAGCAGUGGGGAAUAUUGGACAAAUGGGCGAAAGCCUGAUCCAGCAAUGCCGCGUGAGUGAUGAAGGCCUUAGGGUUGUAAAGCUCUUUUACCCGGGAUGAUAAUGACAGUACCGGGAGAAUAAGCCCCGGCUAACUCCGUGCCAGCAGCCGCGGUAAU